GUGAAUCAUCAAAUUUUUGAACGCAAAUUGCACUCUCUUCGGAGAGUAUGCCUGUUUGAGGGUCAGUUUAAAUAAAAAUCGAGGUGUUGCUGUUUUGUGACCCAUCGGAAUUGGGUUAUCUUUGACCUUUUAAAAAGGUUAAGUUGCCUUAAAUUUAUACCUUUUUCAACUUCGACGUAC
rnacentral:misc_RNA from 1 species